GAGCUAAUCCUUGACAGUCCCAAAACGAAUAAGUAAUAAGUGGGCUUACACCUAAUCAUUAAUCAUAUGUCCCGUUCUGUAGCCGACACUACUAUUAUGUCCAAUGAUUAUUAUACACGUUAAUAAGUAAAAUAGAGCAAUAUUGUGAUCAAUUAUAACAGUAGGUCGUAUUAUUAAAAUCUAAAUUUAUUAUAAAUUAGAUAUUCGGAUGGGAGGGUAAAUUGGGCUUAUCAUAACCAGCCUCUUAUCUACUCCCGUACAAGUCAUUAAUGAUAUUUUAAUUAAUAGCACGUGUACUGGGUUGGGAUUAAAACAUCUCGAGGACCCUGAACUUUAUUAAAUUUAUUUUUUAACCCUUUUUUUAAAAAUCUUUGUCUAUUAAGCCCUAACUAUCGUUUCUCUGAAUCUCCACAUUUCCUGUCUUUU
rnacentral:lncRNA from 1 species